rnacentral:rRNA from 1 species
UACAGAGGGGGCAAGCGUUAUUCGGAAUUAUUGGGCGUAAAGGGCGCGUAGGCGGCCUGGCAAGUGGAAGGUGAAAUCCCUCGGCUUAACCGAGGAACUGCCUCCCAAACUGCUUGGCUUGAGACCGGGAGAGGUGAGUGGAAUUCCCAGUGUAGCGGUGAAAUGCGUAGAUAUCGAGAGGAACACCAGAGGCGAAAGCGACUCACUGGACAGAAUCUGACGCUGAGUCACGAAAGCUAGGGGAGCAAACGGG